CCCUAUGGGGUGCAGUUCCUCGAUGCAAAAGUGGUGGGGGGGAAAAAGGUGGUGUGGGUUAUAGAGAAAUUGUGCGGGCGAGAUAGUCCACGAUGGCGAUGAUAUUGGGGUAGUACAUGCGGCGGGGACCGAUGAUGCUCACCGUGCCCUGCAGGUUGCCGAUGCGGUAGGGUGCCGCGACGAUACUGCAAUCCCGAAAGCCAUCAUGGGCGAUUUCGCUGCCGAUGCGGAUCGAGGGGCGGGAUUCCCGUUCGUCGAGAGAGCGGAGGACGUGGACAAUGAUAUUCUGGUUUUCGAGCAGCUCGAGAAUUUCGCGGAUACGGUCGGGAGAGC
rnacentral:rRNA from 1 species